UGCUCACCUCCUACACAGAUGCAUGCAUGUCAUGUAUAGAUGCGCAGACUAGUGCUUUUGUCUCAUCUAGAUAAUAAGCUUCACGUAGUGGACGAAUGAAUUCUUUGCAUACAGACCCAGUCUAGACAAAACUUGGCGCACUGAUGAAACAUACAUAUAUUUUCCAUAUUAAUUGGGAGUCCAGUCUCGGCUUCCUUUUAAGAGUAUCUGGGCCCUGUAAAGUCGUCUCCUUCAGUAAACUACACUAAUUAGACCCGGGGUGGGAAUAAGCCUCGACUGGCUGGUAACUAAUUGGACGAUCUUUUCAGUGUGAUGGAAAUGUUCCCAAACUGGAUCGUGGUGAUGAUUGUGCUGUAAAUUUACUAAAACUCAUUGUACACUUCGGUUCCAGGAGCAGACCCUGUAUCAUAGGCUACAUCAGGUACUCCAGAACUCACCUGCAAGGCCCACGUGGGCUCCAGCAUGACAGAGGCAUUCUGGAAUGGAUGUCUUCAGAGGAUGAGUGAUACUCAGAUUUCAGAACCUAGGCUGACUCCUGUAAGCAGAGAGGCACCUGUAGGAAUGUCCUGUCCUGGGAUGGGGGCGUUGAACCUCACAACAGACCAUGAGCUGAUGGAGCACACAGUCGGGAAUGGAGAAGGGUCAUUGUCCUCUGUCUUCAAAGUCUGACCCUACCACAAUGGGGAAGCAGAACCACCAUCUGUCAUCUGUUCUAGGGAGGAGGCAACCAAACACAGAGACCGCAGAUCAUCUGUGGAAGCGUAUACUUCUCUGGAUUUACAGGUGGGGCAGCGGUGAGAUGGGAUGUGGCAGGGUUGCUCUGAGAGUUGGUUAAAAGUGUUCUGAGAGCCCAGAACAAACAUGGAGAAAUUAACAGAGAUCCAGCAACAGGUCAGGAAUAAGGUAAGCAAUUGUCUAUAGCCAUACCACAGUGAACACACCCGAUCUCCUCUGAUCUCUCAAGAAUAAGGUAAAAAAUUUAAAGCUGGAUUACCAUGCCAAGUGGAGCAAACCAGAUGAGAACAAAGCAUCUGGUGGCAAAACCAUGGGGGUCAGAGAUGGAGGAAAUACUGGGUUAGAUGAAGCCCCACAGGAGAAAGAGGCCCAGAAUGAUGGUCGGUCACUAUUUCUACGUAUUAUCCAUGUAUCUGGCACGUGAGAUCUGGGGACAAUCAGAGAAGCUAUGGAACAGAAAACACCUAGCUUACUGUCAUCCAUCGAUCGAGACCAAACUCCUCAGCCAGAACAUUCAGAUCCAUUCUGACCUGGAUCAUGCUUAUUUCUACAGGGUCACUCUUCACUUUGCAGCUCACGCCGCUACUACAGGCAUUUCCCUGAAUUCAGCGUGUCUUUUGUGCUCCUAUGUGCACAUGCAAUUCCCCCUGCCUAGAACAUGACUGCCAUUUCCAUUUCCAUUUCCUCAGUAAGGACCAACUCACUCCUAUGGAGUUAGCCCCAGCUUCCUUAGCAUCUCCAGGCACAAUGAAUGAUUCUGACAUCUUUCUGAUGUCACCCGAAACAUGCUUUUUUACCUCAGUUCUUUCAGUUGCUGUACUACAUGAUAAUGGUGUACUUGCCUGCCUUAACUGAGCUCUGUGUCCCAUGAGGACAGAGCCUGUAUCUUACUGCAGUGUUUAAACCCCCACAUCUAAUAUGGUAGGUAGCACAUAGUUGGUGCUCAGUAAACAGUUGCUGGGUGGUUGGAUGGAUGGAUGGACUCACAUUCUUACCAGGGAGACAGACGGACAAGUAAAGAAAACAAUUACAAAGCUGUGAGGAAAAGGCCGUGCUAACAGGUCAUUUCGGGUACACAGAGGAAGGAAUGCCUGACUUCAGGCAGCCCUACCCCCCUUUCUGCUCCCUGCAAUAUGCAAUUCAACGUAAAAACGCUAAACAGUAAAAUAAAAUUUUUGAAACAAACAGGAAAUCUUCUCCCUAGACAUGAAAUGUCAUAAGCGCUUUCUUUUUGGGAAGGGGAGAACACCUCUGCUUUGUGGGUGCUUUUACCCUCAAGAAUAUGACAGAAGAGAAGGUCAUGGCUCUUGGUAGAGACGUGGGCAGGUUAAGGAAACCAGCCAGGACUGAAGGGGUACCCACCAAAAGACAAGCGACAGCAGGAGGAAGUUGCCCUGCCUAGGCCUGGGCCACAGAAGAGCCCAGCCACUGCCAGAACUUGAGCUCAGCCCAGCGAGCUGGUGGUGGUGGUGGGGGGGGGGGGAUCCCCAAUCACACCCUCCUUCCACCUUCAGAUCUGCCUCUGUCUCUUGUUAACCAAACUCCAUCAGGAGCCAGAGGGCAAGUGAGCCCAGGUGACACAAUCAUAGAGGUCAGCCUCUGGGGCAGGGGAGAGAAGGGCUGAGAACGGAACUGGGUAGUGAGAGGACAGAGAAUAACCAGCACUGUGGGGGGAAAUGCCUCUGCUUUGCAGGUGACCUAUGUCUGUGAUCAUUUCCUGCUGAGGAUGCAAACAUUGAUUGAGGCCCCACAGAUGACAAGUCUACAUCUCGGGCUUUCUCUAUUUGGAUAUUUGUGUAGCCAAGCUUAUUAAAAUCUGUGCCCCUUAAUUAGUAGGUCUGGGAUGGGGCGAGGGUAUCUAGCUUUUUAAAAAGCUUCCCAAGAAAUUCUGAUAGGCCUUGCUUGUUGAGAACCACUUUUAUAGCCCCAUCCUUUCACUUUUGUCAACAGGGAAACUAACCUCUAGGGAAGGGAAGAAGGCCCUGACUUGUUCUCGCCCUGAGAAUUAUUCCUUAGGUGACAUUAAAGGGUUUGGCUGGAAAACAGAUUCUCCAUUUCUCCAUUUUUUGAUGAGGAAACCCAGGCUCCAAAGAUGGAGUGACGUGCCCAGUUAAUAGAGCUAGUAAGUCCCAGAGAAGGAGGGACUAGCACCAAGUACAGUAGUUCUAACUUUCAAUCCAGGCUUUUUUUCUAGGCAGGACACUGUAGGAAGGGGUGUAUACGUGCUGGGGGCACCAAGCCCUCUAGGUAGCAAUUAUAGUCUCCCAUUCUGGUAAGGUAGGUCUCCCCACUGCCCCUGGCUGGGAAGAGAGUGGAGCAGGCAGAGUUCCCUGCCCCCUGGGGCCCUACGCAGAAGGGGCCUGAAGGUGAUGGGAGAAGGCUGUGUGUGACCCCCAAUCCCAAGUCUUGAUUCUCACUCUAGUGCCCCUGCCUCUGAAUCUCUGCUUGUCAAUUCUAUCAUGAAAGAGGGCUGCUCCCCACUCCACUUGGGUGUUAGGUCAGCACAGGCUUUGGGAAAGCUGGGCUGGUCCCAAAAGAAAAAGAAAGGGGCCCAUUAUGGGAGGGGCUCACAGAAGGCAAGCUGUAGGCUUCUCUUGGCCCAGCACCAGGUUCGGGUGCAGCAACAGUGUCAGUCCAGGAUGUUUAAAACUCCUUGUUGGCUGCUAAUUGAGGCCAGUUAGGGCUGGUUAUCCCCUCCAACCCCAAUUCCCAAAGCCUGGCACGUGGCGCCUUCCCUCCUCCUACAGAAAGACCGCAGGCCAUCCUUUGAGAAGUAUCUGAAAUCUCUGUCUCCAGGAUGCUUCCAGGAUGACAUCAGCAUCCCACUCCUUCCCUGUCCUACACAACAUGAUGGCCUGGGAGAAAGCUUAGAGAUUAUGCAUUUAUCUUAUAUAUGAGGAAAUCAAGCUGAGAGAGGGCAGCUGAUUCACCCAGUCGCCCAACAUGGACCUGGCAAAUUGGAACAGAGAUCCCUGUUCACUUAACUACUUACCAUGGAAUUCCCACGGUUCUGAUGAAGCCCAGUCGCAAAUGUGUCUGUAAUGUGUCGCAAAUUAGUCUCUGUUAUCUUGACACUCAAGCUUCUUAAGCCGGAUUUUGGCAAAGCUAGUUCCCACUCGUGUGGGUCCUUAAGUAUGCUCAGGUCUGCCUGAGGUCCUCAGGUCUGUCAUUCCUGGUGUGUUCUUGUGUUACAGUUGUGUCUGAGCUAUGAGAGGCAUGUACCUAAGAGCAAUUAAGUAUUUGUGGUCUGGAGGUGUGCCUGUCUCUGCCUCUCUUUAUGUUGAAGGACGUGUGUCCACCUGCCACUGGUGGUUUUAGGUCUACAUAUUUGUUUGAUGCCUAAGGGUAAUUGUGAUUCUGUAUAUGUUUGUAUAUACGUGAGGACAAUGGGUCUAUGGGCUGCUCUGGACUUAUUGAGGUGUCUCUUUUCAUGUUGAAGGUGCUAUGUACGCUGACCACUGUGUCCAUUUGCAUGUGUGUUUGUACACAAUGAAGGCUGUGGGUCUAAUUGUAACUAUGUCUGUGUGUGGGGCGUGUGGCUGGCUCAGUCGGUUAAGCGGCUGCCUUGGGCUUG